GCCGUUGUGCCGUGGCUCUUGUGACAGUCUCCAAGCCAGGCAGGGGCUGCUCUACGUGGGGAAUGCUUUUGAUGGCAUUUCUCUGUUUCUCUUCUAGUGUGUGAAGCUGGAGGAGAAACUGCUCAGGCUUAAUUCUGGAUUUGUCUCUCCUGUUUUCCCUAGUGUGAUCCAGGACCAGUUACUUCAUCUGCUCUGGCAACCUCAUGGCCCACUUCAGCCAAAUGUAGAGGUGUAGAGCUGCUUCUCUCUGUCAGAGGCAAGACAACUGGAAGUGGAGCCUGUGAAGGGGAGAGCACACGUGCUGCAGAAGUGUUUUUCCCGCUGCCUGGAGUCACACUCGCCGUUUCCGUCUGGCUGCGAUUGGAGCUGUGCGUCCUAGGGAGGGCUGGUGAGCGUCAACAGACACAGCCAAUAAAUUACAGCAGCUGGUGUCACUCCUGCCUCCUUUGCAGAGAGCCAGGGUGGGCGAGCUGGGGCUCUGGGGCCGAGCUGGCACUCCAAGCACAAGCCUUGUACACCCAAGCAGGGGCAGAGUCAAAGGGCUUCUGUCCUUUCUCUGUAACACACUCUUCCUCUUUCCUUUGCUGCUGAACUUUCCUGCUCUCCUUGUGACAUGGAACAUGCCUGACAUGCUGGGAAGCAAGAUGGACAGUGAACAGGCCAUGAAAUUCAAUGGAGGUGCCCCUGACUCUCACUGCAGGUGGAUGAGUCUUUGGGUGCACCAUUAAAGCUGGACGUGUGCAUGUCUUGCAA